AGUUAAAACUUUCAACAACGGAUCUCUUGGUUCUGGCAUCGAUGAAGAACGCAGCGAAAUGCGAUAAGUAAUGUGAAUUGCAGAAUUCAGUGAAUCAUCGAAUCUUUGAACGCACAUUGCGCCCAUUAGUAUUCUAGUGGGCAUGCCUGUUCGAGCGUCAUUUCAACCCUCAAGCCCUAG
rnacentral:rRNA from 1 species